GUGUCAGCAGCCGCGGUAAUACGUAGGGGGCAAGCGUUGUCCGGAUUUAUUGGGCGUAAAGAGCGUGUAGGCGGCUGGGUAGGUCUGCUGUGAAAACUCGAGGCUCAACCUCGAGACGUCGGCGGAAACCCUCCAGCUAGAGUCCGGAAGAGGAGAGUGGAAUUCCUGGUGUAGCGGUGAAAUGCGCAGAUAUCAGGAAGAACACCCGUGGCGAAAGCGGCUCUCUGGGACGGUACUGACGCUGAGACGCGAAAGCGUGGGGAGCGAACAGGAUUAGAUACCCUAGUAGUCC
rnacentral:rRNA from 1 species